AACCCAGGAUGAGGGCACAUUCUCAACAAAUCUUUAAAUAUCUCUCAUGCAUCAUAUAAUGUCUCCAAAUCAAUUUGAGCAAAAUAAAAUAUGUCAUUCCUCAACUU
rfam:Gossypium raimondii chromosome 11, whole genome shotgun sequence.